AUGCAGAGCAAUGCCGAGGUUGUGAGUUCGAGCCUCACCUGGAGCACGACCCUUUUGGACGUCCGCGGCCCCCUUUUAUCUCCUCACCCAAAGGAACCGGUUAGUCUCUCUUUAGCGUUCUCAGUUCCUGUCGCUGACUGCCUGCCUGCGCUUGUCGCUCCGCCGCUGGCAGGAAGCAGCUCGCCCCGGAGCUUCUUACCCGCUGUGCAAGCUACUUGUUGCACCCAGCCACUCGAAUCCGGACCUCUUCAUAAGGCUUCCGCUACUUCUCUUCCCAGGCCUUUCCUUUACCCGCAUCCAGUCCCCGGCCACAGUCACAGACCUUUAAUUAAGACAAGAAGGACCCUCUCAAAGCAACCACACCCAAGGGGCCUCCUCUUCUCAGGACCUGAUGUAGAUACUGAGGGCCUGGCCAAGACUUCAGGGGCCUUGGAGGGUGAGUGUACAGUCAUUCGGAUGUGUGAGGGACGUGACUCAUUGGGGGGCCAGAGGGCAGCCUGUGGGAGCUAGUCUUCAAAGCUAGCCCGCAGUAAACCACCUCUAGUGGUGUUUAUGAUCUCGUGCAGGCCUCUGUCUGGAAUCUGAGCUGUCCCUGUGACCCACUUUGGCCCACAGAAAGCAGUGACAGUGAUACUGUGUGAUUCCUGAGGAGAGGGCCCAGGGAGCCUUUCAGCCUCCACCUGGGUCUGUUACAACACUUGCUCUGGAACAAGGCAACCAUCGUGUAAGAAGCUGGAUUCCUCUGAGACUGAGAUGCUAUGGAGAGGCCAAGCUAGCCAUGGGGAAAAUUCACAGGAGAAAGCAAGACAGUCAGCCAGACUGGGAUUGUUCUUGCCAUCCCAGCUGAUACCAGCUAUGAGGGUCAAGAUGCUGCCAUCUUGUCUGUACAAAUGAACCUGCAUUUGACUCUUGCCCUUUCCACCUUUUGACGGUAGCCAUGUGAGACCCCUUCCACCGGCCACCAAGUGACCCCUGAGCCAGUCAAUCCACAGAACUGUAAUAAAUAAAAAAUGAUUUCUUUUCGACAACUGAAAUUUGGGCUUUGUUAUACAGCAACAGAUAACCGAAAUGUAAAAAACAUUGUGUGUUUUAAUUUAAAAAAGUGCAAAUUAAAAUGUAAAAGAUCAAAACUCUCAUAUAAGUUUUUGACAAGUUACUUUUCUUUUUUUUUUUUUUAACAUUUUAUUUAUUAAUUUGACAGAGAGAGAGAGAGAUCAUAAGUAGGCAUAGAGGCAGGCAGAGAAGUGGGGGAAGCAGGCUCCGGGCUGAACAGAGAGCCUGACUCGGGGCUUGAUCCCAGGACCCUGGGAUCAUGAUCUGAGCCAAAGGCAGAGGCUUUAACCCACUGAGCCACCCAGGUGCCUGACAAGUUACUUUUCUUUAAAAUAUUCAAAAUUAUCUCUUAGAAUUAAAAGGCACAUAUUAACCAGCAAUAUAGCCUAUGCAUUUUAUCUAAUACUAAAAUCUCAAUUAAAUAUUUAAACAAAGCUGAAUUUUUAAAAAAAAUUUUUUAAAGAUUUUUAUUUAUUUAUUUGACAGAUAGAGAUCACAGGUAGGCAGAGAAGCAGGCAGAGAGAGGAGGAAGCAGGCUCCCUGCUGAGCAGAGAGCCCAAUAUGGGGCUCCAUCCCAGGACCCUGGGAUCAUGACCCGAGCCGAAGGCAGAGGCUUAACCGAUUGAGCCACCCAGGCGCUCCAAAGCUGAAUUUUUAAUUUAAGUCUUGCCAAUUUAUUAGAUCUGAUAAAAAUUUUUAUAAAAAUAAAAUCCUAUAGUUGUUCCACAUCUGUCUCAUUGCCAAUGUAAAGAAUCAGGCUCACACUUUAUACAUGCUGUAUCUUGACCUGCAUAGGACCUGCAAAUGUGGGAGAAUUAUGAGUGAUUUACACUGGAAAGUGUUCUGUGGCUGCCCCACAUACACCUGUAGCAUUGCUAAUUGGGGAGUACUACUGGAACCACAAAGAGAAGCAAGAAAAUGCAUGUUUGCUGCCCUCCUUCUAUUGCCUUCUUGCUCUGCGAGAGGAAGGACUUAGUGAAUUCAUCUGGCUUCCCCCGAGUGCUUCCACCCCUCCGUCCUCCAGGGCGCAGGGCCCUGUCUGUGUCAGUAGCGACACGACCCGCAUUUGUUUAUAGCAUUUGAACACAGUCUCCUCUUGAUGCAAGGAUGCAACUCAAACGUUGUGGAGAAGCAUUUCGCUGGGGCCUGGAUGGCGUUACCCAUGAGCGUGGAUGUUCAGGGUUAGAGAUCAUAUUGUGCUCGCGCUGAGGGCCCUCUCCACAAGGACUAGGGCCGUCAUGUGUUUAACUGUGCAUGUGCGUGCGUGUGUGCAUUUGUGUGUGUGUGUGUGUGUGUGUAUGUGUGUGUGAGAAAUGUGGGUCUCCUGAAGAGUGGGGCUCAGAACAGAGGUGGGUCAUGUCCACCUUUAAGGGUGCUACCGCUUCUGGCCGUCCUCUGCGGGUCUGGCAGUUGCCUCUAUGUCUCUCUCCUGAAGUCCUAUGGAACCCCGACCCUUGGGUGCCUCGUUCUUAUUCUGAUUUAGUUCUUUGGUUUGAAAUGUUCCCUAGUCCAUAAUUAGUCUGGUGUAUCAGCUGAGACAUUAGCAGCAGCAAGCAACAGAAGAC
rnacentral:lncRNA from 1 species